rfam:Glossina morsitans morsitans, isolate Yale, WGS project CCAG01000000 data, contig: ctg10016763
GGUUCUAUGGUGUAAUUGGUUAGCACUCUGGACUUUGAAUCCAGCGAUCCGAGUUCAAGUCUCGGUAGAACCU